rnacentral:rRNA from 1 species
AGCGGUAGCACUGAGAGCUUGCUCUCGGGUGACGAGCGGCGGACGGGUGAAUAAAGUCUGGGAAACUGCCUGAUGGAGGGGGAUAACUACUGAAAACGGUAGCUAAUACCGCAUAACGUCGCAAGACCAAAGUGGGUGACCUUCGGGCCUCAUGCCAUCAGAUGUCCUCUAAAUGGGAUUAGCUAGUAGGUGGGGUAACGGCUCACCUAUGCGACGAUCCCUAGCUGGUCUGAGAGUAUGACCAGUCACACUGGAACUGAGACACGGUCCAGACUCCUACGGGAGGCUGCAUUGGGGAAUAUUGCACAAUGGGC